UGCUGAUGUCUUCCUCCAGAGCAGAGCCCAUGCAUGUGUUCAUCUGCUCAGAUACUUAAAGAAGUCUUCUUCUGUCUUCCUACUACAGGGCCAUGCAUCCAUUCAUUUGGCUGGAUACUAAGGACAGGGCCAUGCUUCUGUUCAUCUACUGGGACACUAAGGAAUCUGCAAGGAAUCUAUUCAUCAGCUUGGAUACUAAGACAGAGCCAUGCAUCUAGUCAUCUUCUUGGAUACUAAGGAAAGGCUGCUUCUGUCUUUGUGCAAGACAGGGCUAUGCAUCUGUUCAAGUGGUGGGAUAAUAAGAGGAGAGAUCCGUAUAUCUUUUCACCUGUUGGGAUACUAAGAUAAGUCUGUUUGCCUUCCUACACAAUGGGGACAUGCAUCUAUUCAUCUGCUCAGACACUAAGAAUGGGGCCAUGCAUCUGUUCAUCUUCUCAUAUACUAAAAUCAUGCAUCUGUUCAUCUGCCUGAAUACUAGGGACAGGGCCAUGCAUCUGUUCAUCUUCUUAUAUACUAAGGACAGAUCCACACACUUCAUCUGCUUGGACACCAUGAAAGUCUCCUUCUGUCUACCUACAGGACACAGCCAUGAAUCUAUUCAUCAGCUCAGAUACCAAGGACCUUGUGCUUUCAAGGUAGGCAAAGCACCACUGAGCUACCUUCCCACCUGCUGAUGUCUUCCUGCAAGACAGGGUCAUGCAUUUGGUCAUCUUCUCAGAUACUAAGGUAAGGCUGCUCCUGUCAUCAUACAAGACAGGGCCGUGCAUCUGUUCAUGUGCUGGGAUACUAAGGUAAGUCUA
rnacentral:lncRNA from 1 species